rnacentral:lncRNA from 1 species
ACUCACACUGUACUUCCAGGGAGACACCGAUUAUGAGAAGAGAAACUCAGCGCUGGGGAAGAAGAUAAAUGAAUGGAGUGUUUGAAGUGCCCUUUGAGACUUUGAAGGCUGAAGAGUACCUGAUAUAUUGCAAGUCUGUUUGUGCCUCAUAGCUGCACAGACUGCCUGAAGUUACGUUUCGAGACUGAAAUCACUGCACCUUAAAAACAAAGGAUUGAGCCGCACUGUGUUCCUGUAAGUAGAAGCUUCCCGAACCUUCCUCUGUGUUUCUGUGACCAACCCACAAAGGGACAAAACCUAUCAUAGUAACCAGACAUGAGG